UACAGAGGUCCCAAGCGUUGUUCGGAUUCACUGGGCGUAAAGGGUGCGUAGGUGGUGAGGUAAGUCGGAUGUGAAAUCUCCAGGCUCAACCUGGAAAUGGCAUUGGAAACUACCUUGCUAGAGGGUUUGAGGGGGGACUGGAAUACUUGGUGUAGCAGUGAAAUGCGUAGAUAUCAAGUGGAACACCAGUGGCGAAGGCGAGUCCCUGGAAAAUAACCUGACACUGAGGCACGGAAAGCUAGGGGAGCAAACAGG
rnacentral:rRNA from 1 species